GUCCGCGUGGCCCAAUGGAUAAGGCGUCUGACUUCGAAUCAGAAGAUUGCAGGUUCGAGUCCUGUCGCGGCCG
rnacentral:tRNA from 13 species